CGGCACGGGUGAGUAACACGUAUCCAACCUGCCGUCUACUCUUGGCCAGCCUUCUGAAAGGAAGAUUAAUCCAGGAUGGCAUCAUGAGUUCACAUGUCCGCAUGAUUAAAGGUAUUUUCCGGUAGACGAUGGGGAUGCGUUCCAUUAGAUAGUAGGCGGGGUAACGGCCCACCUAGCCUUCGAUGGAUAGGGGUUCUGAGAGGAAGGUCCCCCACAUUGGAACUGAGACACGGUCCAA
rnacentral:rRNA from 1 species